rnacentral:rRNA from 1 species
UACGUAGGGUGCAGGCGUUAAUCGGAAUUACUGGGCGUAAAGCGUGCGCAGGCGGCUUUGCAAGACAGAUGUGAAAUCCCCGGGCUUAACCUGGGAACUGCAUUUGUGACUGCAUGGCUGGAGUGCGGCAGAAGGGGAUGGAAUUCCGCGUGUAGCAGUGAAAUGCGUAGAUAUGCGGAGGAACACCGAUGGCGAAGGCAGUCCCCUGGGCCUGCACUGACGCUCAUGCACGAAAGCGUGGGGAGCAAACAGG